ACUCUUAUACCUAAAUCACACAAAGACCCAACAAAGAAAGAGAACUUCAGACCAAUUUCCCUUAUGAAUAUCGACACAAAAAUACUCAAUAACAUUCUGGCAAACCGAAUCCAAGAGCACAUCAAAACAAUCAUCCACCAUGAUCAAGUAGGCUUCAUCCCAGGCAUGCAGGGAUGGUUUAAUAUACGGAAAACCAUCAACGUGAUCCAUUAUAUAAACAAACUGAAAGAACAAAACCACAUGAUCAUUUCAUUAGAUGCUGAGAAAGCAUUUGACAAAAUUCAACACCCCUUCAUGAUAAAAGUCCUGGAAAGAAUAGGAAUUCAAGGCCCAUACCUAAACAUAGUAAAUGCCAUAUACAGCAAACCAGUUGCUAACAUUAAACUAAAUGGAGAGAAACUUGAAGCAAUCCCACUAAAAUCAGGGACUAGACAAGGCUGCCCACUCUCUCCCUACUUAUUCAAUAUAGUUCUUUAAGUUCUAGCCAGAGCAAUCAGACAACAAAAGGAGGUCAAGGGGUACAGAUCGGAAAAGAAGAAGUCAAAAUAGCACUAUUUGCAGAUGAUAGGAUAGUAUAUUUAAGUGAUCCCAAAAGUUCCACCAGAGAAGGGAUUUUGGUAUUACGGCAGCUAUAAUUCCAGCCAUUGUACUAUCAGCCACUACAGCAACAACAGCCACGAUCGCUAUGACUAAUCAAGUACAGACGACUGAGACUAUCAAUCAGAUUGUGGAAAGAAC
rnacentral:lncRNA from 1 species